CUCUUUCCCCAUAAUCCUCAGUUUAUUGGGAGGCAAGUUGCCACAUUCCACAAUCAACGGGACUAUAUCUUCUUCAGAUUUCAUAGGUACAUAUUCAAGAGUGAAAAGAAAGUGGGAAUUCAGGAACUUGGACCACGUUUUACCUUAAAAUUAAGAUCUCUUCAGAAAGGAGCCUUUGAUUCUAAAUAUGGAGAGUAUGAAUGGGUCCAUAAGCCCCGGGAAAUGGAUACAAGUAGAA